rnacentral:lncRNA from 1 species
AAUGCGUUUUGGGUUCGGGGGCAACUGCCCCCCCCCCACUUCCGGCGCCUAUGAUCUGAAUUGUAUUCAUGUGAUAUCAGUUGCCCCAAAGUUGCUUUUUAUUUUGGCAACGGAGCUUAUAACGUUCUCAGACCACAUGGGCUCAUUAAUCCACACACACAAAAAAAAAAAAAAUACAUGGAAAAAAAUAUAUAUAUAUCUCAAGAGUUAUGUGAGGAUGGAACUUCAAACUUGGUAUUAUCAUUUACUGAAAUCAAUGAGUAAAUUUUUAGUUGCGUAUGUCAAUUUUUUUGGGGGGGGGGAACGGGAUUUGAUUAUCUUGAUAUCUUAAAAUCUAUUAAGGCGUGAACUGAAAAUGUGUUAUUAUUAUGGAUCAUCAAAGAGAGAUCGAGUAAAAAGAUCUAGGGGUUUGUAGGUAUAAGGCAACGGUGGUCAAUAAGUGAUAAUCAUGUAUUGAGUUCUAUAAAUUACAAGUAAAUCCUGAUAUCACAACAAAAACAUUUUGACAUUUUCAAAUCAACUAGUAUUUGUCAAUGUAGGAAGGUAUAUAAUAGUAUACAAAAUUUAGAGAGGGGUCUCAAAAUUGAUGAUUGAAAAAAAGAAUAAGAUUACCUGUAGUUUUUAUACAUAUAAGUGGCGCAUAUUUGAGAUAUAAUUGCAUUUGUCUUUUAUUGUUCAAUGUAAAAUACAGUUUCUGCGCUGAAAAGCCUCUGCCACUUUGUCCUUCCUUCUGGUAUUAAAGUAUAAAUUUCAAGGUGACAUUCGCAAAUUUUUGGUGUGGAAAAGUAGUCGUGAAAUGGAAAAUCAAAUACACGGUACCUCUUUUUGACGAAUAAUUGAACGAAUGCUUUACACUAAGUCAAGAGUGAAUAUCAAGUAAAAUAGAUUGAUUAUUGUGGAUUACAUAUUCUUGUACUUUUAGGGCCUUGUACAAUAGGAGUUUAUAUCAUUAGCUCCAUAUACUUCUGAGAGUAGUGCAAAAACGUAUAGAUCAUACCUCAUUUUAUUGUACUUCUAAUAUGCGGAGAGACUUAUUUUUCUAUUGUAUAUAUUGGUAUUUACAUCUUACAACUCGGUCAUAUUAAUAUAUGUUGAUAAUUAUCAAUCAUUACAAAGAUUGGGAGUAUCAAUUUUAUGUAAAUAAAUAAGUGAAAUGAUCAGGUAUUUUAGAGUUUUUUUUAGAGUCACCUGAAUACACAAUUCAUCAUUGAGAUGUGUCAUCUUUAAUUUCAAAGUGUAUGUAUAAGAUGUGAGUUUUACUUGUAGUAAAAUAUAAUGGAGCUGUUUAUCUGACUUUUUAACUUAAUCAGUCUUUUGAAAUUGCUGAAUGCAUCUUUCCAAAGUGCCUUCAAUCUGUUGUAAAUUUUACUGAAAUCUAUGAGUAAAUUUUUAGUUGCGUAUGUCAAUUUUUUUUGUUAUAAUUUUGUUUUAAUUUUUAAUUUUUAAUUUUUUUUUUUUAUAUAAUACUAUUGUAAGAUGCUUCUGUACUCUUCCUUAGCUCAACCCUCCUUGUUUCUCAUGUUUCCUUGAAUGAAUAUGUUCUAUGGAUGUCCAACAAAGGUUUCUUGUUGAAAAUGUCCAACAAUGUGUAAACUUAUCUUAUUUUCCUGCCUUUGUUUGUUUGUAUAGAUGGCCAAACUUUAGUUGGUUCGGUGUGAUGUAUGUAAAAUUCAAAACUAGCAAGAGAAGCAAUUACUUGCUUUGAAAUUUUAUCUAAUUUCUAAACACUUUCAUCAGCAUUAAUGUACUGAAUAUUAAUUUUAUUAUUUCUUUCUCUUUUUUCUUUCCCUUUAAUUGUGUAGAUUGAAUGAAAUUCUUUACAGGCCCUCUGAACUUUUACAGGAAACUGUUUUAAUCAUAUUGAAUGUGACAAUCAUAUAAUUGUAUUUACUGAUAUGGGUGGAAUUUUAUGUUUUUGUUUCCUUCCUUUCUUUCUGUAAAAACUAAAAAGAUUGUACUUAUUUGUUGAUCUAGUCCCUCCAUAGUUAUUGUGUGAUGUGCAUAUUGCCUAGCUGGCUAGAGCAUUUGUUUAUUUUUAUUGCUAGAUGAUUGAUAUUAUUGUAAAUUAUGUUAUUACAAUGUAUAUAAUGAAAGAUAUAGAGAACAUAAAGUUUUUUGUAAAGUAUAGCAUUAUCCAUUCUACAUGUAUUUGUAUAAAAAAGAAUGAUUUUUUUUGUAGGAAGAAAUAUAAAUGAAUGAAAUGUUCGAGGAGGAAGGUAGUAUACUGAAGACUAAACCACCCAAAUUAAAUAUUGAAACUUUAAAGCUUA